rnacentral:lncRNA from 1 species
GAACUGGGACUGGUGGAUCAACAGUUAUUACAGAAGUUGAAAGAAGGAAGGAAAGAAGAAAACAUGAGUAGCAGAUGAAGAGAAACCCAUCAUGUUAUGUCUUUUUGCUUCUCGCUGCACCCUCACUCCAGGGAGACUCAGUGCAUGAGUAUCAAGCUGGAAGAAACAAAAUCUUCAUGGUGCCUAGCCGAAGAGCUAUAACCGAAGUAAGGGGUAUGAGUGAUAGAAACCUUUUUUGUUUAAUUAAAACUGAUCAUUUCCUGGUAAGACAGUUUGUACUGUCUGUUAGAUAUUUCCAGGUACACUCUAGGAAAAUGAGGAGAGAGGGUAUUUUGCAAAAGGUGGUAGAACUGGUGACAAAGAAGCGUUUAGGUAAAAAAAAAACAAAAUGUACAGGUUGUGGGAAUGCAUGCAGAUUAAAGGUGUAUGAAUUCAUACAGGGUAUCUUACCAUUAGGUCAAAACCUGACCUCAAUUUUUUAG